UACGUAGGGUGCAAGCGUUGUCCGGAAUUAUUGGGCGUAAAGAGCGUGUAGGCGGCUUGGCAAGUCUGACGUGAAAUCCCGCGGCUCAACCGCGGUAGGUCGUUGGAAACUGCCUCGCUAGAGUCCGGAAGAGGAGAGCGGAAUUCCUGGUGUAGCGGUGGAAUGCGCAGAUAUCAGGAAGAACACCCGUGGCGAAGGCGGCUCUCUGGGACGGUACUGACGCUGAGACGCGAAAGCGUGGGGAGCGAACAGG
rnacentral:rRNA from 1 species